rnacentral:rRNA from 1 species
UAGGGAAUCUUCCACAAUGGACGCAAGUCUGAUGGAGCAACGCCGCGUGAGUGAAGAAGGUUUUCGGAUCGUAAAGCUCUGUUGUAAGAGAAGAACGUGUGUGAGNGUGGAAAGUUCACACAGUGACGGUAACUUACCAGAAAGGGACGGCUAACUACGUGUCAG